rnacentral:rRNA from 1 species
AGUGAACGCUGGCGGUAGGCCUAACACAUGCAAGUCGAACGGCAGCACAGUAAGAGCUUGCUCUUACGGGUGGCGAGUGGCGGACGGGUGAGGAAUACAUCGGAAUCUACUUUUUCGUGGGGGAUAACGUAGGGAGACUUACGCUAAUACCGCAUACGACCUACGGGUGAAAGCAGGGGAUCUUCGGACCUUGCGCGCUUCAAUGAGCCGAUGUCGGAUUAUCUAGUUGGCGGGGUAAAGGCCCACCAAGGCGACGAUCCGUAUCUGGUCUGAGAGGAUGAUCAGCCACACUGGAACUGAGACACGGUCCAGCCUCCUCCGGGAGGCAGAAGUGGGGAAUAUUGGACAAUGGGCGCAAGCCUGAUCCAGCCAUACCGCGUGGGGGAAGAAGGCCUUCGGGUUGUAAAGCCCUUUUGUUGGGAAAGAAGAGCAGCAGGUUAAUACCCCGCUGUUCUGACGGUACCCAAAGAAUAAGCACCGGCUAACUUCGUG